rnacentral:rRNA from 1 species
UGCCUCAGUAGCGGCGAGUGAGCGGCAAAAGCUCAAAUUUGAAAUCUGGCGUCUUUGGCGUCCGAGUUGUAAUUUGAAGAAGGUAUCUUUGGGCCCGGCUCUUGUCUAUGUUCCUUGGAACAGGACGUCACAGAGGGUGAGAAUCCCGUGCGAUGAGAUGACCCGGGUCUGUGUAAAGUUCCUUCGACGAGUCGAGUUGUUUGGGAAUGCAGCUCUAAGUGGGUGGUAAAUUCCAUCUAAAGCUAAAUAUUGGCGAGAGACCGAUAGCGAACAAGUACAGUGAUGGAAAGAUGAAAAGAACUUUGAAAAGAGAGUGAAAAAGUACGUGAAAUUGUUGAAAGGGAAGGGCUUGAGAUCAGACUUGGUAUUUUGCAUGUUGCUCUCUCGGGGGCGGCCGCUGCGGUUUACCGGGCCAGCAUCGGUUUGGAGCGGCAGGAUAAUGGCGGAGGAAUGUGGCACGGCUUCUGCUGUGUGUUAUAGCCUCUGACGAUACUGCCAGCCUAGACCGAGGACUGCGGUUUUUACCUAGGAUGUUGGCAUAAUGAUCUUAAGUCGCC